rnacentral:rRNA from 1 species
AGCAGCCGCGGUAAUUCCAGCUCCAAUAGCGUAUAUUAAAGUUGUUGCAGUUAAAAAGCUCGUAGUUGAAUUUCGGGAUUCGUCCAUUGGUCAGGCUUAACUGUCUGUACUGGUGUGUCGGAUUUCUACCUUCUGAAGAACCUUCAUGCCAUUAAUUUGGUGUGUUGGGGAAUCAGGACUGUUACUUUGAAAAAAUUAGAGUGUUUAAAGCAGGCUAACGUCUGAAUACAUUAGCAUGGAAUAAUGAAAUAGGACGGUACGGUUCUAUUUUGUUGGUUUCUAGGAUCGCCGUAAUGAUUAAUAGGGAUAGUUGGGGGCAUUAGUAUUCAAUUGUCAGAGGUGAAAUUCUUGGAUUUAUUGAAGACUAACUACUGCGAAAGCAUUUGCCAAGGAUGUUUUCAUUAAUCAAGAACGAAAGUUAGGGGAUCGAAGACGAUCAGAUACCGUCGUAGUCUUAACCAUAAACUAUGCCGACUAGGGAUUGGACGAUGUUAAUUUUUUAAUGACUCG